AGCAGCCGCGGUAAUUCCAGCUCCAAUAGCGUAUAUUAAAGUUGUUGCAGUUAAAAAGCUCGUAGUUGAAUUUCGGAAUCUGUCCGUUGGUCGGGCUUAAUUGUCCGUACUGAUGUGAUGGGUUCUUACCUUCUGAAUAACCAGCAUGCCAUUAAUUUAGUGUGUUGGGGAAGCAGGACUAUUACCUUGAAAAAAUUAGAGUGCUCAAAGCAGGCUAGUGUCUGAAUACAUUAGCAUGGAAUAAUAAAAUAGGACGGCAUGGUUCUAUUUUGUUGGUUUCUAGGAUCACCGUAAUGAUUAAUAGGGAUAGUUGGGGGCAUUAGUAUUCAAUUGUCAGAGGUGAAAUUCUUGGAUUUAUUGAAGACUAACUUCUGCGAAAGCAUUUGCCAAGGAUGUUUUCAUUAAUCAAGAACGAAAGUUAGGGGAUCGAAGACGAUCAGAUACCGUCGUAGUCUUAACCAUAAACUAUGACCGACUAGGGAUCGGACGAUGUUAAUUUAUAAUGACUCGUUCGGCGUCC
rnacentral:rRNA from 1 species